GCGAGAGAGGCUGGGGCCGAGAGGGGCCGAGAGCGGCCGAGGAGCCGGAAACGCACCGCCGAGGGUGCGGCCCUGAGGGGCGUCGGGAAGCUUUAGGGGAGCGGCCCCGGGGCGCGGGGAGGGUCGCCGGGGCGAGUCGCGCCCAUGCUGCCCCGGGCGGCGGGUGCCCUGGGGGUGGCGGGGGACGCGGGCGCCGCCGUCCGGGGUGAUUGACAGCUGUCGCGCCGCCCCCAGGCUGGGCCGCCCGCCCGGAGCCGCUGGAGCGGAGCGGGGCUGGCGCCCGGCAUGCGCCGUGCUGGGCCGGGCCGCGAGGCCGCACAGGAUGAAUGAAAUGAACCUGAGCCCAGUGGGGAUGGAGCAGCUGACCUCCUCCUCAGUGAGCAAUGCCUUACCAGUCUCAGGAGGUCACCUGGGCUUGGCUGCUUCUCCCACGCACAGUGCCAUCCCUGCCCCCGGUCUGCCAGUGGCAAUUCCAAACCUGGGUCCAUCCCUGAGCUCCCUGCCUUCCGCUUUGUCUCUGAUGCUUCCAAUGGGGAUUGGGGAUCGUGGGGUGAUGUGCGGGUUACCUGAGAGAAACUACACCCUCCCUCCGCCACCUUACCCUCACCUGGAGAGCAGCUACUUCAGAACCAUCCUCCCCGGCAUUUUAUCCUAUCUGGCGGACAGGCCACCUCCUCAGUACAUCCACCCCAACUCCAUAAAUGUCGAUGGCAAUGCAGCGUUAUCUAUCGCCAACACUCCUUCCGCUCUAGAUCCCUAUCAGUCCAAUGGAAAUGUUGGGUUGGAACCAGGCAUUGUUUCAAUAGACUCUCGUUCUGUGAACACACAUGGUGCCCAAAGUCUGCAUCCCAGUGAUGGCCAUGAGGUGGCCUUGGACACCACAAUCACCAUGGAGAACGUGUCUAGGGUCACCAGCCCAAUCUCCACCGAUGGAAUGGCAGAGGAGCUCGCAAUGGAAGGUGUUGCAGGCGAGCACUCCCAAAUCCCAAAUGGCUCCCGAAGUCACGAACCACUCUCUGUGGAUUCUGUGAGCAGCAACCUUGCCGCAGACACCGUGGGACAUGGUGGUGUGAUCCCCAUUCAUGGCAGCGGCCUGGAGCUCCCCGUGGUCAUGGAGACAGACCACAUUACCAGUCGGGUGAGCGGGAUGUCUGACAGUGCCCUCAGCGACUCCAUCCACACCGUGCCCAUGAGCACCAACUCUGUCAGCGUGGCUCUCUCUACCUCACACAACCUUGCCUCCCUAGAGUCGGUUUCUCUCCAUGAAGUGGGCCUCAGCCUUGAGCCUGUGGCUGUCUCCUCCAUCACCCAGGAGGUUGCUAUGGGGACAGGUCACGUGGAUGUGUCUUCAGACAGUCUUUCUUUUGUACCGCCUUCACUGCAAAUGGAAGACUCCAAUUCAAACAAGGAAAAUAUGGCAACCUUGUUUACAAUUUGGUGCACUCUGUGUGACCGAGCCUACCCCUCAGACUGCCCUGACCAUGGACCGGUGACUUUCAUUCCUGAUUCUCCAAUAGAGAGUAGAGCGCGGCUGUCUCUCCCGAAGCAGCUUGUUCUGCGCCAGUCAAUCGUGGGAGCAGACGUUGGUGUGUGGACCGGAGAGACCAUUCCCGUGCGCACUUGCUUUGGGCCUCUGAUUGGUCAGCAGAGUCACUCCAUGGAGGUGGCCGAGUGGACAGACAAGGCCGUUAACCACAUCUGGAAGAUCUACCACAGCGGCGUCCUGGAGUUGUGCAUUGUCACAACUGACGAGAACGAAUGCAACUGGAUGAUGUUUGUGCGCAAAGCCAGGAAUCGGGAAGAGCAGAAUUUGGUGGCUUAUCCCCAUGAUGGCAAAAUCUAUUUCUGUACCUCACAAGACAUCCCUCCUGAAAACGAACUGCUUUUCUAUUAUAGCCGGGACUAUGCUCAGCAGAUGGGAGUUCCUGAGCACCCAGAUGUGCACCUCUGCAACUGUGGGAAGGAGUGCAGCUCCUACACAGAGUUCAAGGCCCAUCUGACCAGCCACAUCCAUAACCACCUCCCCAGCCAGGGCCACGGCGGCAGCCACGGGCCCAGCCACAGCAAGGAGAGGAAGUGGAAGUGCUCCAUGUGCCCGCAGGCUUUCAUCUCUCCCUCCAAGCUGCAUGUCCACUUCAUGGGUCACAUGGGGAUGAAGCCCCACAAGUGUGAUUUCUGUAGCAAGGCUUUCAGUGAUCCCAGCAACCUGCGGACCCACCUCAAGAUACACACAGGCCAGAAGAACUACCGGUGCACUCUGUGUGACAAGUCUUUCACCCAGAAGGCUCACCUGGAGUCCCACAUGGUCAUCCACACCGGGGAGAAGAACCUCAAGUGUGACUACUGUGACAAGCUGUUCAUGCGGAGGCAGGACCUCAGGCAGCACGUGCUCAUCCACACGCAAGAACGCCAGAUCAAGUGCCCCAGGUGCAACAAGCUGUUCUUGAGGACAAAUCACCUAAAGAAGCAUCUGAACUCUCACGAAGGCAAGCGCGAUUACGUGUGUGAGAAAUGCACGAAGGCCUACCUGACCAAGUACCACCUCACCCGCCACCUAAAGACCUGCAAGGGCCCAGCCUCCAGCUCCUCCGCCCUGGACGAGGACGAUGAGGACGACUCCGAGGAGGACCUGGUAGAGCCUGUGGGGCCAGAAGGCUGCAGGCUGGGCAGCGCUCUGUACUCAGCAGAGGAGCCCCUCUCAGCGCACAAAUGAAGACGCAAAGGAAGACACAGCCAGUUGCCCAUGACAGUGCUGUUAUGUGAAAUGGUUUCCGGUUUCUUUCCAGCCAGCAGUCACAGCAGACGGAGUGGAGCGCAUGGAGACGGCACCAGAGGGGUUUCCCAGUAAGACAUCCAUCCGACCGAGGAGAGCGGGCGUCCCAUGCCUGGGGCUAGGGGGAAGGGCCAGCUUUUCUCAGGGAGAAUGGAAAAGUGAGAGGACUGCCCGUGCGGGUGCAGACUCGGCCCUCCAGGAUCUGACUUUACACUCCGGUUACGCCGAGGAAGUGAGAGGCUCGCAGUGACUCAAGCUCUCCGUGGACCCCCAGCGAGCCACGCAGGACACAGAUGGAGACAUGUACGUGGGAUGCAAGUCAGGCCACGGCAGCAGCACACAGGUACACGUUGCUCCCAGCAGUGCGUCAUUAGGUUUGCAAGCAUCCAGGGUGUUUUCACACAAACCUAGUGGCACAGGACAGUCCCUCCAUGUGGCCUCUCAAUGCCAGCAUGGGACAGAAGGGACACUUGGUGUAUGCGGCUGUCUCUUGCCUCAGUCCCCCAAGUCCUGGGCUUGCUGGCAUGCAGCAUCACUCCCUGCCUUAAAAGAGCACACUACGUAGUCAGAUUGCAAAGCCAGUGAGCCAUUUGCCAUCCCAUCAGGUACUAAGUACCAUGCGACAUUGUGUGAGCUGUACUUCAGGGCCGGCAGUGCAGUGGUGUUGACACCAGCGCCACCCCUGGCGUGAGCAUUGUCCAAAGUUAUGACACUGGUGACGUCAUCAGUCCAGGAAUGUGUCGGCCCCCUUAGCGUCUUACGGGACACUGGCUGUGGUUGGCUGGAAUGGCGUCAUGUUACGCAUGACCUUAGGUGCAAAGUGUUACCGAAAUGUACGAGCAGGAGUGAGAGUCACUCUGGAGGAGUAAAGAAAACUGAGCGGGAGCCCGGCUCUGUGGUGCCGUAAGAGAAGCCCGGGCUGGGGGAAGACAGUGGAGAGAGAGCGUCUGGAAAACCAACACAGAGAUUUGGGACACAGGACAGGCGAUUUUCAGGGAUGACUGUUUCCAGUUGCAGUGACGUGCACUUGUAUCAGGUGUUGGUCUGGUGUGACCCGCGACGAUGCCUGGUCUAUAGAGGCAGCCAGGCUCUCCCUGUGGCACACACUGAAGUGCUGUGGUUUGGAUCUCAAAUGUCCCCCGAGGAUCACAUGUUGGAGGCUUGGGGCCCAGCCUCAGGGCUCUGGGAGGAGGUGGGCACUGAGGGGAACCUGGGACCGGCCCUUCUCUGCUCUUCGGUGCUCGCCCCUCCGUGCUGUCUGCCUCACCACAAGCCAGAGCAGCGGAAACCAGGAGCGAGAAUGAGCUUUCUUCCUAGUGCUGCCUUAGGUGCUGUGUGACAGUGGGGGAGGCUGCCUAACCCUGGGCCCCCCAUUAAAAGCGGCCGCACAGAAUCUAAGCUGUCCACCUGGGGAGGCCUACUCAUUUCGUGAGCAGGGUGCGGCUUCACUCUGUUUUCUGUCCCCUUGCACCCCCUUCCCACCUGCUGACCCCUUUUUAUUCUGUUGCUGAGGCUCAGGCUGGACGUGGGCUUUGCAGUGGGACAGCGGGGAGAGGAAAUGGCUGCUUUGGGGAAACCUACAUCCUGAAUCAUCCAUCACUGGGUGAGGUCUCCCCAGUUCGUCCUCAGGAAGUGCAGAAAUGCUCAAGCUCUGCUUCUAGUCCCGCACCUCGUUUCUGCCUGUGUCAUGCCGCUCCCUCCAGUGGCAUAACUGCACUGCACUUGUGAGGUACGUUUCUCAUAAGCAGGGACACCUCUGUGAGCUGGCGCGUGUAAUGGGUUAGGGACAGCUGGCAUUUGGCCCUGAAAGCGAAUUAUUCCAAAGCGGGAGUGAUGGCAUACUGUUCACUUCAGGUCUUUCCCGAGUGCCUGGCUAGACAGGCUGUCACAAAAGAAAGGGAGCCAGGUUACUUUGCACCUGCAAUUCCCAGGAUGCAAAUAGUGCAUUUCAUGGCAAGAAGAAAGCAGGAUGGUCUACUCCUUCAGCACGUAUUUGUUUUACAUAUGAAUUUUAGAAUUCUUUCUAGUUCUCAUUGGUUUUUUGAUGGGGGUUGCAGUGACUGCAUAGAUUGCUUUGGGUAGCAUGGGUAUUUUAACACCAAUUCAUUCUUCCAAUUCACAAACAUGGAUGGUUUUCCCACUUUCAGUGUCUUCAAUUUCUUUCAUUGGCAUUUUGUAAUUUUAUUGGUUUUUACUUUAUUCCUAUUUUUGCAUUUGUAGCUAUUGUAAGUGGGGUUGCAUUUAUGAUUUUUCUCAACAUAUUAGUGUACAGAAAGCUAUUAACUUUUGUAUGUUGAUUUUGCAUCCUACUACUUAGUGGAAUUCAUCGAACAGUUUUAAGUCUCUGGUGGAGUCUUCAGGCUUUUCUGUGUAUAUAGAAUUGUACUAUUGGCAAACAGAUAAUUUGGCUUCUUUCCUAUAUGUCUGCUUUUUCUUUCUCUUGUCUAAUUGCUUUGGCUACAAUUUCUAGUACUAUAUUGAGUAAGAGGGGGCAUCCUUGUCUUGUUCCUGAUCUCAAGAAAUGCUUUCCACUUUUCCCCCUUCAAGCCGUGGUUGGUUGUAAGCCUGUCACAACAGCCUUUAUUGUGGUAUGACCCUCCUCUACCUAGUAUGUCCAGGGCUUUUAUCAUGAGGGGAGACUGAAUUUUAUCUAACGCUUUUCUUGUAUCUAUUCAGAUGAUCACAUGAUUUUCACCCUUUAUUCUUCUUAUGAUUUAUUACUUUUAUUGAUCUGUGUAUGUUGCAUCAUCUUUCCAUCUCUGGAAUGAAACCAACUCGAUCAUGGUGUAUUCUUUUUGAUGUGCAGUUGAAUUCAAUUUCUAGUGUUUUGGGGGCAUUUUUGUAAGUUUAUCAGGGAUACUGGUCUGUAGUUCGCCUGUUUGGUUGUUUUCAGACUUUGGUAACAGGGUAAUGUUACGACAGAACGAGUUUAGAAGGCCCUUCCCUGUCAGUUCUACACUUUCAGAGAAGCACUGGUGUUCUUCAGGUCUGGCGUUAUUCCACAGUGAGGCCAUCUGGUCCUGGACUUUUCUGUACCGGCAGACUUUAUUAUUAACUCAUUAUUUGUAAUUGCUGUCAUUACGUUUUAAUCAUCUAGAACACUGGUUCUCAACCUUUUUGGUACCAGGAACCAUUGUUGUGGAAGACAAUUUUUUCACAAACCUGGAGGUGGGGGGUGGGGUUUUGGGAUGAUUAAGGGAAUUACAUUUAUUGUGCACCUUACUACUAUUACUCGUUUCUGGCUGUUGGAUCCUCACAGGGAGUGUGCAAUCUAGAUUCCUUGUUGGAUCCUCACAGGGAGUGUGCAAUCUAGAUUCCUUGCAAACACAGUUGACUGCAGGGUUCUCGUGCCUAUGAGAGCCGAACAGCCCUGCUGAUCUGAUGUAAAGCAGGUGCCAGGGAGCAGCUGUAAAUACAGGUGAAGUUUUGCUCUCCUGCUCACCUCCUGCUGUGCAGCCAGUUUUUAACAAGCUAGAGACAGGUACUAGUCUAUGGCCUGGGGUUUGGAGACCCCUGAUUUAGAGCUUAUUUCACUAUCUGAUUAAAAGCCAAACCAAGGCAAAGAAACAAGAGUAUUUACUCCAUCCUUCAAUGUGCUGUCCGUGGUGAAUCCAAGCUGCAACCCCUUUUAUGCCAGUUGUCUGACCUGGAACGGCAAUCUGACAGGUUAGGGCUGGGUCUCCUUACUGCCUGUUAGCAUUCAUAGGAGUCAGGACUCCGCUGGGUGGAGAGCGGGGACUUCCUCAUGUGAUGAUCUCAUGCCCUGAAUGGCACCAGGCACAGGACAGGCCUUCAGUGUUUGAAAGUGAAUGUGCCUCCUCUGACUGUGCCAGGAAGAAAAGGUGCGGCACCUUCCAAUUAUGUACCAAACUAAGAGCAGCCCUUGAGGGCUGGGGUUUAGCUCAGUGCCGCUGCCUGCCUUACAAGUGCAGUCCAGAUCCCUGGUACCAAAAACAAAAGAGCAGCUCCUGAGAACAUUUUCAAGUCACGGGCAUUAAACUGAGAACCGUCACGUCAGGAAAGGAGUCUGCGAGGCACCUGCCUGUUCUCAGUCGCCUGUGCAGUCUUCGCCAAAUCCCCACCUUGCCAGGCACAGUUUCACACACUGGUUUGGAUCACAGUGUUUUCCCUUCUUAAACUCUAAAGCCUGUAUGGUGGCAUGCACCUGGGAGCCCAGCUACUCAGGAGGCUGAGGCAGGAGAUUGCUGAGCCCAGGAGUUUGAAGCCAGCCUGGGCAACAUAGCAAGACCCUGUCUCAAAAAAAAAAAGAGAAGAAUUUUCUAUAGGUUACUACCUACUUUAUAAACUUAAGAUUUACUGUGACAGCACAUUAAACAAUUCAUUAGUUAAAAAACAUUUUUUAAAUUAUUGUUUCCAAGAAAUAUGAGGACCCGCAGCACCCACAUGAGGCAAGCACAAAGCCCAGCUCUGUGUAACGAGUCCGCUUCUGUCACUCCCCACAGCGGCAGCUAGACACAGCCCAGGUUCAGGGACGCAAGCUAGGACUCCAUUGCAGUCUCUGCACCCCUGCCCCCGAAAGGGCCGCUGACAGACGAGCUCCUCGCACUGCCCAGAACAAGCCGCUCUCGUCUUCCGAAUGCUUCAUUUACUACAAGGCAAAGAAACUGUUAGGAAACCACCAGGUCAAGAAAUUAAGUCUGUAACACACAAGAGACUCGGAUGGAAAAACUGAGCAGUAAGGCUCUCUCCCCUCUGGUGGAAAGUUUCUGAAAACAUUUAACACUUUAUAAACGGGAAAGGAAGUAAGCAGCCUGGAAGUCUAAGUUAAUGUGUUGAAUGCAGGAGACUGGUUUUUAAUGGUCUACUUCUUUCUCACACUUCACCUUGGCUUGUCCUGGAUUUAUCUAACUGCCUUGACAGCAGAUGCCCACUGACUGUCCUUUCUUUAUUCUACUUUGUUGCCUGUUUUCUUGCCCUGUAUCUUAACCAGCUUACAACUUUCUGGAUGUAGGGCCCUCUGCACGUGAGUUAAAAUCAGAACAACCCCGAGGGAGACCUCAGGACCCUUCAGCAGCAGGUAGGACUCAGGAAUCACGGUGGGGAGAUUUUCUCUGUGGGACACAUCAGACUUGCUCAAAAUAAUAAACAAGCAGCGAGCCUAUGGCAUGCGUGUUGCAGGGGGCUGUUUGUAUCACUGCAAGCUCUGAAGCGCUCGCCAUCACCGAGCUGGGGUCUCCUGAAAGGAAAGGGGUGGAUCUCGCAGACAGCUGAGAAGUGCACAGAUUCACUCACUCUGGUAACUGGAAGGGGAGGGCUGUUCUUUGAAACAUGCUGUACUUCUAGCUUUCCUAGACCUUUCCAUUUUAAGACAUUUUAAAAAUAAUCUACAUAGCAAGCGGAAGGUCCCAAGUUCAAUCCCCAGCACCAAACAAAUAAAUAAAUAAAUGAAUAAAAAUAAUCUACACCUGGGCCAGGGAUGCAGCUCAGUGGUGCCACACUUGCCUGGCAAGUACAGGGUCCUGAGUUCUAGUCCUGGUACUGAAAAAAAAAGAUGUGCACCUAACCUAAAAUGUGAAGUCAAAAUGACCUGUACACAGGAGUGUUUCUGCAGUGAGGGGUCCACUACAGGUACAGGCUGUGUCUGCCCUGCUCUCUGCCUGUCUUGCAGUCACAUACGCUGCAUCGCCUUUUCCAGCAAGAGCAGCCAAUGGAAGUCUCACCUGAAGAGACGGUGCUUAUGUCCCAGAUACGGAGGCCUUCUUUCUGGCCCCCAAAGGCAUACACAAAGGGCAAAUCAGGGCAACACGAAGAACAGAAGAGAACGCCCUGGGGGAGAGAACAGGUGACUGUCCAUCACGUGUGGACUUGGAGGCAGAGUGUCACCGAGUCCUCUGCAGCUGCCCUGAGCUACAACCUCCCACCUAAUCAGCUCCAACUUCACCACCUUCCACAUCCAGACUCUGAGAAGCAGCGAUUCCCAGAGGAGACGAGGGCUGCCGGCAGAUUACAAAACACCAGAUGUCAGGGCCUCACCAUCUUCAUGUCCCUGGAGUGAACGAGACUUGGCCUGUCCCCCAGGAUGUCCCAGAUCUUCACGUACUUGUCCGCUGACGCGGUCACCAGGCAGCCCUUGAUCUGACUGCUCAGCUCGAGACCUGGGGAGGCACAGUGCUCAGACUCCCUGCAUCGCGAGCCCCUCUGGCCCGGGGAGAGGCAGCGCUCCCACUCACCGGAGAUCUCGUCAUUGUGUGCGUUGAGUGUGAACACCGGCUUGUCUGACCUCGCGUCCAGAUCAUACACGAAGCCGUCGUCUGUGCUGGCC